UACAGAGGUGGCAAGCGUUGUUCGGAUUUACUGGGCGUAAAGGGUGCGUAGGUGGCUUCGUGUGUCGGGCGUGAAAGCCCACCGCUCAACGGUGGAAUGCCGUCCGAAACUACGAGGCUAGAGUGCAGGAGAGGAGAGCGGAAUUCUUGGUGUAGCGGUGGAAUGCGUUGAUAUCAAGAAGAACACCAGUGGCGUAGGCGGCUCUCUGGAAUGCAACUGACACUGAGGCACGAAAGUUGGGGGAGCAAACAGG
rnacentral:rRNA from 1 species